rnacentral:rRNA from 1 species
UGAGCAAUCUGCCCUUCACAUCGGAAUAACCAUUGGAAACGAUGGCUAAUACCGAAUAUGACUUCGGAUCGCAUGAUCUGAAGUGGAAAGCUCCGGCGGUGAAGGAAUGAGCUCGCGGCCUAUCAGCUUGUUGGUGAGGUAAUAGCUCACCAAGGCGAUGACGGGUAGCCGGCCUGAGAGGGUGACCGGCCACACGUGGGACUUAGACGACGCCCGANACGUACCG